rnacentral:rRNA from 1 species
GGAUUAGAUACCCUGGUAGUCCACGCCGUAAACGAUGGAUACUAGCUGUUGGGCGUAAGCUCAGUGGCCAAGCGAAAGUGAUAAGUAUCCCACCUGGGGAGUACGACCGCAAGGUUGAAACUCAAAGGAAUUGACGGGGGCCCGCACAAGCGGUGGAGCAUGUGGUUUAAUUCGAUGAUACGCGAGGAACCUUACCAGGGCUUAAAUGUAGAGUGACAGGCUGAGAGAUCGGCUUUUCUUCGGACACUUUACAAGGUGCUGCAUGGUUGUCGUCAGCUCGUGCCG